AGCGAACGCUGGCGGCAGGCUUAACACAUGCAAGUCGAGCGGGCGUAGCAAUACGUCAGCGGCAGACGGGUGAGUAACGCGUGGGAACAUACCUUUUGGUUCGGAACAACUGAGGGAAACUUCAGCUAAUACCGGAUAAGCCCUUACGGGGAAAGAUUUAUCGCCGAAAGAUUGGCCCGCGUCUGAUUAGCUUGCUGGUGAGGUAACGGCUCACCAAGGCGACGAUCAGAGCUGGUCUGAGAGGAUGAUCAGCCACAUUGGGACUGAGACACGGCCCAAAACUCCUACGGGAGGCAGCAGUGGGAAUAUUGGACAAUGGCGCAAGCCUGAUCCAGCCAUGCCGCGUGAGUGAUGAAGGCCCUAGGGUUGUAAAGCUCUUUUGUGCGGGAAGAUAAUGACGGUACCGCAAGAUAAGCCCCGGCUAACUUCGUGCCAGCCGCCGCCGUAAC
rnacentral:rRNA from 1 species